AUGUUGUCAUUUGUGCAAGACAGCCAUCUUGGAGUGCCAGAAGACGACAUCUGGAAAAGCAGCGGAAUGGCCAGUCCAGCAAAAGUGCAAAAAGACGGCGAUGACGCGGUGGAAGGGUUCAUCCAUGACGUGUCACCGAGAAAGCAAUCUAGAAACAGCUCUUCGUUUUUCACAGCCGUUCUACAAAGCGCUCGACAUGAAUACCAUAGAGUGGUCGUUUUUGCGAUGGACAAGCAAUCCGUUUUCAGUCAGGCUGAAAAGAACGGCAACGCAGUUAAACUGCUGAACGUCAGGCGCAGCUUAAGCUUCUCUGAUCCGGACGGAUACGACGUUUUAUGCUCCCGUGCGACCAAAGUGGAGGUUACCAGGCUGCCGUUUCUGCGUCACUCGCCGCCAGGCUGCAAAAGGAUGAGUGUAGCGGAGGUGAAGGCUCUUGGCCCAAAGCAGAAGGUAGGAGAGGUCCGUGGGAAGGUUCGAGUACACAGUUCCUUAAGCAGAAUGGUGACGGUCCGAGGCUCGGACGUUGAGCUCAAAGAAGUAGUAAUCUGCGAUGGGACGGGCGAGAUCAGCGUGACGUUGUGGGACAGCUACGUUAACCAGGCUGAGGGCGGCAAGUCGUAUGCAUUUAAGAACUUGUGUACGAGAGAAAGAGAUGGGAGCAUCCGUCUGUGUACCGGCCCGGGAAGCACCAUCGAGCAGAUCGCAGAUUUGGAAGUUCCACACGGGGAAGGCGGCGAGGAGGAGGACGGAUCAAAGGCGCUUUUCAGCGCCACUUUAAAGGGCAUCGACGUCGUGAUUCAGCGAAAGUGUUCCAGCUGUCAGUUUAACCAGACAGAGUUCGUAGAGAAGUCCCUGACACACAGGUGUGAGAGAUGCAACCAGUAGCAGGCGUCACUAGCUUUCUCGACCUGUUUUGGAGGAAAAGCCAUCUUCUCGACUGCCGACGGCGACGAGAGAGUGCUGCUGACCAGCUCCGCGCUGACGACCUACCUGCGCGCCGCCGGACUCAGCAGUGCGUUUAACGAUGCGGAGGCCAUCGAAGAUCACUUUCUUCAGUCGGCAGUUUUCGACGUAAAAGUGAACGUGGAUGGCUUUCUUCUAUCUAUCGAAGCUGCGGAUGCGAGACGUGCUUCCGGCGCGGAUGACCAGCGGGCCGGCGAUACAGACGAAGGUGCGUCGCAGAUGGCAGAGCAUGCUGAAGGGCAGGUCGCAGAGGAAGGCGGCGCGGCGACUCCUGGCUCGGUGGCCUAAACAAGUUUCGCAGCUUCGUGAAGAAGAGCAUGGUUUGACGAAUAGGCUAUGUUUCCGUAAUAACCUAUUGUGUUUUACGUUUCCUUUAAAUGUUCAGUAGUUCACCAAGUUUUCUGCUCGUUUAUAGGCUGUAAUAAAUGUUAAAUAAAUAUAUUUCGUUUAUCUAAA
ensembl:lncRNA